AUUAUACUCCCUUCACCCGAAAAUAUUUGUCAUAAAAAUGAAUGCAUCUAGAUGUAUUUUAAUUUUAGAUACAUUCAUUUUUAUAUAUUUAUGCGAUAAAUAAUUCCAAGCGGAGGAAGUAUUAU
rfam:Hordeum vulgare subsp. vulgare, WGS project CAJW01000000 data, contig: morex_contig_45314